CCUACGGGUGGCAGCAGUGAGGAAUAUUGGUCAAUGGGCGCGAGCCUGAACCAGCCAAGUCGCGUGAGGGAAGACGGCCCUACGGGUUGUAAACCUCUUUUGCCGGGGCGCAACGGGCGCCACGUGUGGCGCCACUGAGAGUACCCGGAGAACAAGCCUCGGAUAACUCCGUGCCAGCAGCCGCGGUAAUACGGAAGCUGCGAGCGUUAUCCGGAUGUAUUGGGUUUAAAGGGUGGGUAGGCGGGGCGGUAAGGCAGUGGUCAAAUUGAGGGGCUCAACCCGUUCCCGCCAUUGAAACUGGAGCUCUUGAGUGGAAAAGAGGUAUGCGGAAUGCGUGGUGUAGCGGUGAAAUGCAUAGAUAUCACGCAGAACCCCGAUUGCGAAGGCAGCAUGCCGGCUUCCGACUGACGCUGAAGCACGAAAGCGUGGGGAUCGAACAGGAUUAGAUACCCGAGUAGUC
rnacentral:rRNA from 1 species